GAGUGGAAGUGACCAUCAGCCAUUGCAGUGUGGAGUGGAAGUGACCAUCAGCCGUGGAGUGGAAGUGACCAUCAGCCAUUGCAGUGUGGAGUGGAAGUGACCAUCAGCCGUGGAGUGGAAGUGACCAUCAGCCAUUGCAUUUUUUUUUCCAUUUAUUUGAAUAGAGUUCCAAGGAGUGGAGGAAUGGUUCCAUCACAUGUAGCUUUAGUUGUGUGUUUUUUUUUUCUUUCCAUUUGCAAAGUCCCUCCUUCUGAGUGAGAAGACACAUAUGUUCCAAGGCUCCUGGUUGGUUGAAAUGUUUUGUCAGCCAUUUUAGCCAGAAAUUAAAGAGAUUUGCUGGACUUGUGAUUACGACACAACGUUUCAAACUCAACAGCAAAAAGACACAAGGCUCUUCUCUUUGUUUCUCCAUGCAGACUCUCAGAGACAGUCUGACUGACUGUCUCAGACUGACUGUCUCAGACUGACUGUCUCAGACUGACUGUCUCUGACUGACUGUCUCUGACUGACUGUCUGUCUGUAAAGAUUUUCAGUGUAACAUAACAUGGGUGUGAAAACACAACUAUUUCUUCUACUGUAAAUGUACAUAUGAUUCUUUACUGAUUUUGGUUAGUACUGUACUCUCAGGACAGUAACACAAAU
rnacentral:lncRNA from 1 species